rnacentral:tRNA from 1 species
CCCCAAGUGGCGGAAUUGGUAGACGCAGCAGACUCAAAAUCUGCCGAGGUUAAACUUGUACCGGUUCGACUCCGGUCUUGGGGACCA